rnacentral:rRNA from 2 species
UGGGGAAUAUUGCACAAUGGAGGGAACUCUGAUGCAGCGACGCCGCGUGAACGAAGAAGGCUUUCGAGUCGUAAAGUUCUUUUAUAUGGGAAGAUAAUGACGGUACCAUAAGAAAAAGCCCCGGCUAACUACGUGCCAGCAGCCGCGGUAAUACGUAGGGGGCUAGCGUUGUCCGGAAUCACUGGGCGUAAAGGGUUCGCAGGCGGAAAUGCAAGUCAGGUGUAAAAGGCAGUAGCUUAACUACUGUAAGCAUUUGAAACUGCAUAUCUUGAGAAGAGUAGAGGUAAGUGGAAUUUUUAGUGUAGCGGUGAAAUGCGUAGAUAUUAAAAAGAAUACCGGUGGCGAAGGCGACUUACUGGGCUCAUUCUGACGCUGAGGAACGAAAGCGUGGGUAGCAAACAGA